rnacentral:misc_RNA from 1 species
AUUUCAUAGCAAAACAGAUCACAAGCAGGCUUAUAUUAAUUUACAAUCCACAACAUUGCAAAAUCAAACAAUAGAAUUGCUAAGGAAAAUUAUAUUAUCUCCAAUGAAGAGUUUAAAAUACAUCCAACAUCUCAUGAAAUUCACAUUUUUAUCCAAAUAAAAAAUGCACUGCCACACCAAUAUAUUGGUUGAUGCAUAUGAAAUACUUCCAACAUGAAGUAGAGAAGUCUCUUUCCUACUAAAAAAGAUAACUCUUCCAUCCAUUGAUAAGCCAUAAGUCUUAAGCAUCCCGUGGAAUCACAUAUGGUGUGU